rnacentral:rRNA from 1 species
ACGGGGCCGCACAGCGUGGAGCAUGUGGUUUAAUUACGAUGAUACGCGAGGAACCUUACCUGGGCUCAAAUGUAUGUUGACGUAUUCUGAAAGGGAUACUUCUUCGGACAAUAUACAAGGUGCUGCAUGGUUGUCGUCAGCUCGUGCCGUGAGGUGUCGGGUUAAGUCCCAUAACGAGCGCAACCCCUAUCAUUAGUUGCCAUCAGGUCAAGCUGGGGACUCUAAUGAAACUGCCUACGCAAGUAGUGAGGAAGUGGGGAUGACGUCAAAUCAGCACGGCCCUUACGUCCAGGGCUACACACGUGCUACAAUGGCCGGUACAAAGGGCAGCUACCUGGUGACAGGAUGCUAAUCUCAAAAGCCGGUCUCAGUUCGGAUCGGGGUCUGCAACCCGACUCCGUGAAGCUGGAAUCGCUAGCAAUCGCGCAUCAGCCAUGGCGCGGUGAAUACGUUCCCGGGCCUU